rnacentral:rRNA from 1 species
AGAAUCAACGCUGGCGGCGUGCCUCAGACAUGCAAGUCGAACGCGAAAGGCUCCUUCGGGGGCCGAGUAGAGUGGCGCACGGGUGAGUAACACGUAGGUAAUUUGCCUUUGGGUGGGGAAUAACUCAGGGAAACUUGAGCUAAUACCGCAUAAUGCAGCGGCUCGACAUCGAGACAGUUGUUAAAGCGGGGGAUCGCAAGACCUCGCGCCUGAAGAGAAGCCUGCGGCAGAUUAGCUAGUUGGUAGGGUAAUGGCCUACCAAGGCGACGAUCU